UUUUGUUCAACAAACACCGGAUUAUUUCCUCUGAAUCCUCUUUUAGUACGGACUGUGGACACCUAGUUUUGUACUCAAGCUCUUACUUCUGGAAAAUUAUAUUAAUUGUAAGUUUUUUGUAACAUUUUAAUUACGUUCUAACAUCUAUAACAUAAUUUUAGUUUAAUAAAGAAUUUAGUCAACAAUUCGCCGACGAAGCGUAUAUUCUCAUACAAUAUAAUAAAAAAUAUAUGUAAACAACCGGUUUUUCGUUAUAACGGACAAAUGUUUCUUAGUUUGAAUUCUCGUUGAAAUUUAACUUGGUUUGAAAAAUUGACCUUUUCUCGUGGAUGAGACUGAUAUAAAUCUUGUUUCCAUGCAGUUCUAAAAGUAUAACCCGAUACAUGUUAACCAUUUUGUUGUCAUUUGACUGUAAAGAGUUUAAGGAAACUGUAUAACAUUGCCUACAUGUAGAUCUCACAAGGUCCCCACAUUUCUGACGGUAAUGUUCCUUUAUUUUACUUUAGUUUUAUGUUCAUCACUGACCUUUUCUUUUCUUUACGGUUUUAGUCGUGCCUGAAGAAGACAGCUAGGCUGUCGAAACAUUUGUAGCACCAAUUGCGAAUAAUAAAAUUAUAUCAUCGUUAA